CGAGUGAGGAGCAUCCAAAAUUUAAGUUUUUAUUUCCGGAAAACAAAAAUUCAGUAAUUCAGUGUACAAAAAAAAAAAUUGUUUCCUAGUUUAAAAUUUGUUUGUUACUUUUUGGACACACGAACUCAAAGAAUGACUCUUGGGAAGGGAAGGCGGCUCUUCAAAUAAAGAAAGGCGAUCGUGAUGGUACCGGGAUAUCCAAACAAAUACUCCCCCAGUUCGGAUUACCAGUGGCUUGCAUCAAUAUUAAUAAUCACUAUAUUAAGCACUAUAUUAAGCACAGAGAAAGGGAAGGAACGAAAUGGAAGGAUGGUGACCCUUCAGACGAGGGAAGGACAUCGUGAUGGUACCUGGAAUAUCCGAUCAGUUAUUCCCUCAGUUCGGAUAUACAGUGGCUCGCAUCAAUAUUAAUAAUCACUAUAUUAAGCACUAUAUUAAGCACAGAGAAAGAGAAGGAAGGAAAUGGAAGGAUGGUGACCCUUCAGACGAGGGAAGGACAUCGUGAUGGUGCCUGGAAUAUCCGAUCAGUUAUUCCCCCAGUUCGGAUUCCCAGUGGCUUGCAUCAAUACCAAAUAAACAUUAUGCAACGAGAUCAAGACCGAAUAAAUCACUAUAUUAAGCACUAUAUUAAGCACAGAGAAAGGGAAGGAAGGAAAUGGAAGGAUGGUGAUCCUUCAGACGAAGGAAGGACAUCGUGAUGGUACCUGGAAUAUCCGAUCAGUUAUUCCCUCAGUUCGGAUAUACAGUGGCUUCCAUCAAUGCCAAAUAAACAUUAUGCAACGAGAUCAAGACCGAAUAAAUCACUAUAUUAAGCACUAUAUUAAGCACAGAGAAAGGGAAGGAAGGAAAUGGAAGGAUGGUGAUCCUUCAGACGAAGGAAGGACAUCGUGAUGGUACCUGGAAUAUCCGAUCAGUUAUUCCCUCAGUUCGGAUAUACAGUGGCUCGCAUCAAUACCAAAUAAACAUUAUGCAACGAGAUCAAGACCGAAUAAAUCACUAUAUUAAGCACUAUAUUAAGCACAGAGAAAGGGAAGGAAGGAAAUGGAAGGAUGGUGAUCCUUCAGACGAAGGAAGGACAUCGUGAUGGUACCUGGAAUAUCCGAUCAGUUAUUCCCUCAGUUCGGAUAUAUAGUGGCUUCCAUCAAUACCACAUAAACAUUAUGCAACGAGAUCAAGACCGAAUAAUUCACUAUAUUAAGCACUAUAUUAAGCACAGAGAAAGACGAGGGAACGACAUCGUGAUGGUACCUGGAAUAUCCGAUCAGUUAUUCCCUCAGUUCGGAUAUACAGUGGCUUCCAUCAAUACCAAAUAAACAUUAUGCAACGAGAUCAAGACCGAAUAAAUCACUAUAUUAAGCACUAUAUUAAGCACAGAGAAAGGGAAGGAAGGAAAUGGAAGGAUGGUGAUCCUUCAGACGAAGGAAGGACAUCGUGAUGGUACCUGGAAUAUCCGAUCAGUUAUUCCCUCAGUUCGGAUAUACAGUGGCUUCCAUCAAUACCAAAUAAACAUUAUGCAACGAGAUCAAGACCGAAUAAAUCACUAUAUUAAGCACUAUAUUAAGCACAGAGAAAGGGAAGGAAGGAAAUGGAAGGAUGGUGAUCCUUCUGACGAGAGAAGGACAUCGUGAUGGUACCUGGAAUAUCCGAUCAGUUAUUCCCUCAGUUCGGAUAUACAGUGGCUCGCAUCAAUACCAAAUAAACAUUAUGCAACGAGAUCAAGAACGAAUAAAUCACUAUAUUAAGCACUAUAUUAAGCACAGAGAAAGGGAAGGAAGGAAAUGGAAGGAUGGUGAUCCUUCAGACGAGGGAAGGACAUCGUGAUGGUACCUGGAAUAUCCGAUCAGUUAUUCCCUCAGUUCGGAUAUACAGUGGCUUCCAUCAAUACCAAAUAAACAUUAUGCAACGAGAUCAAGACCGAAUAAAUCACUAUAUUAAGCACUAUAUUAAGCACAGAGAAAGGGAAGGAAGGAAAUGGAAGGAUGGUGAUCCUUCAGACGAAGGAAGGACAUCGUGAUGGUACCUGGAAUAUCCGAUCAGUUAUUCCCUCAGUUCGCAUAUACAGUGGCUUCCAUCAAUACCAAAUAAACAUUAUGCAACGAGAUCAAGACCGAAUAAAUCACUAUAUUAAGCACUAUAUUAAGCACAGAGAAAGGGAAGGAAGGAAAUGGAAGGAUGGUGAUCCUUCAGACGAAGGAAGGACAUCGUGAUGGUACCUGGAAUAUCCGAUCAGUUAUUCCCUCAGUUCGGAUAUACAGUGGCUCGCAUCAAUACCAAAUAAACAUUAUGCAACGAGAUCAAGACCGAAUAAAUCACUAUAUUAAGCACUAUAUUAAGCACUAUAUUAAGCACUAUAUUAAGCACUAUAUUAAGCACAGAGAAAGGGAAGGAAGGAAAUGGAAGGAUGGUGAUCCUUCAGACGAGGGAAGGACAUCGUGAUGGUACCUGGAAUAUCCGAUCAGUUAUUCCCUCAGUUCGGAUAUACAGUGGCUCGCAUCAAUACCAAAUAAACAUUAUGCAACGAAAUCAAGACCGAAUAAAUCACUAUAUUAAGCACUAUAUUAAGCACUAUAUUAAGCACUAUAUUAAGCACAGAGAAAGGGAAGGAAGGAAAUGGAAGGAUGGUGAUCCUUCAGACGAAGGAAGGACAUCGUGAUGGUACCUGGAAUAUCCGAUCAGUUAUUCCCUCAGUUCGCAUAUACAGUGGCUUCCAUCAAUACCAAAUAAACAUUAUGCAACGAGAUCAAGACCGAAUAAAUCACUAUAUUAAGCACUAUAUUAAGCACAGAGAAAGGGAAGGAAGGAAAUGGAAGGAUGGUGAUCCUUCAGACGAAGGAAGGACAUCGUGAUGGUACCUGGAAUAUCCGAUCAGUUAUUCCCUCAGUUCGGAUAUACAGUGGCUUCCAUCAAUACCAAAUAAACAUUAUGCAACGAGAUCAAGACCGAAUAAAUCACUAUAUUAAGCACUAUAUUAAGCACAGAGAAAGGGAAGGAAGGAAAUGGAAGGAUGGUGAUCCUUCAGACGAAGGAAGGACAUCGUGAUGGUACCUGGAAUAUCCGAUCAGUUAUUCCCUCAGUUCGGAUAUACAGUGGCUUCCAUCAAUACCAAAUAAACAUUAUGCAACGAGAUCAAGACCGAAUAAAUCACUAUAUUAAGCACUAUAUUAAGCACAGAGAAAGGGAAGGAAGGAAAUGGAAGGAUGGUGAUCCUUCAGACGAAGGAAGGACAUCGUGAUGGUACCUGGAAUAUCCGAUCAGUUAUUCCCUCAGUUCGGAUAUACAGUGGCUCGCAUCAAUACCAAAUAAACAUUAUGCAACGAGAUCAAGACCGAAUAAAUCACUAUAUUAAGCACUAUAUUAAGCACAGAGAAAGGGAAGGAAGGAAAUGGAAGGAUGGUGAUCCUUCAGACGAAGGAAGGACAUCGUGAUGGUACCUGGAAUAUCCGAUCAGUUAUUCCCUCAGUUCGGAUAUACAGUGGCUCGCAUCAAUAUUAAUAAUCACUAUAUUAAGCACUAUAUUAAGCACAGAGAAAGGGAAGGAAGGAAAUGGAAGGAUGGUGAUCCUUCAGACGAAGGAAGGACAACGUGAUGGUACCUGGAAUAUCCGAUCAGUUAUUCCCUCAGUUCGGAUAUACAGUGGGUCGCAUCAAUACCAAAUAAACAUUAUGCAACGA
rnacentral:sRNA from 1 species